AACGGAAACUUCCCGCGCUACGGCGGCUCCAACGGGCCGCUUCCGCCGCAUUGCGUAGCGAAGCCCCCGGCGAGCCGAGGCUGGGAGCGCGGUGAUGGCCGGUCCCCGUGAGCAGAGGGCAGCGGCGGCGGGACCGGGGACUCUGGGCCAAUGGGUAAAGCCAGGAGGAAGCCCGUGCCUGGCCCGUUGGGCUCCCUCCUCCUCAGAGCCGAAGCAGUCCACACUCGGAACCCAGCUUCACCCGGAUUACCGAGGGGUUCCACGCCUGGAGGCAGAGCUGCAGCGUGGGCCCGCUCGCGGCUUUGCAGAAAACAAAUAAUGACACACUUCUCUGGAAGCCCGGGGCCUGGGCCCAGAGCCGUGGCUUCUGCCAAACUUUCUGGUCCCGGACACCAACUCCCCGCCUCUCAGCCCGAGGCCACAGCGGCCCAGCACCCUGCACCUUUUAAAGUGGCUCCAAAAAGGAGAAAGCCAAAUAGAUCAGGGUGGUAGGCGCGAGUGCAGGGAGCUGCGAAGUUGGAAGAUUACUGCUUUUCAAACUGCCAAAGAGCAAAAUACUAAGCGAGAAACUCCGUCCAAAGCAACUGGAACUCGAGGUUCUUUACUAAUGAGAGUUCCAGUUACCAUCUUCAGAGAAAGGAGCUCAAAAGAGGGAGUUUAUUUUUUGCGGAAUGUCUUCCUUGUUAAGAAGAAAAUUAAAGAUUAAAAAAGAAAAUGAAGGGUCUGGCAACUAUGAACCUAAUGGUGCCCUAACGUUUGCUAUUCUAAGGCCGAGAAUGCCAGAUGGGGAGAACGCCAUGAGCUUUUGAGCUUGUGUAUUUUGCGAGAGGCUCGAGUGUGAACAGUAGACUACAGGCCUUGAGACUGAGAAGGAAGCUAUAAAAUGUGGGCCAAGGGAAUGUCUGCAGGACCGGGUUUCAGAGCACCCUAUCGUGGCGGAUAAAGAGCCACUAACAGCUUUUUUCUUUAUUUAGUAGCCAAAUUCUUGGUUGGCGCUUUGAGAAAGGAGUAAGCAUUAAGCGAAUUUAACCAAGUAAAAUGUAUCGUCCUGCCCUUUGUAGUCCCAUAGUUCACUAUCCUAGAGAUACCUAUUUUUCACUAUUUUAUUAAAGUGUAUUGAAAACCUACAAAAAAAAAAAAAAAA
rnacentral:lncRNA from 1 species